CCGGCGUCCUCGCCCCAGCAGCUAGAUCUCCUGCAGGGGAGAGUCGUCCUCCCACCGCCGCGGACCCACCAGCGGGAAGGCGGGACACCCAUGCACAGCGAAGCAGGCUCUGUACACAGUGGUCAUUGGCGCACCACACCUCACCCUGCCCGCAGUCUGGAACAACAGUGUGACGGCUUCCAUCUUGGACCAUGAAGAUGCGGGGGACACCCCAGGGAAAGGAAAGCAGCAAGCUGGGAGGUGCCACGGAGCAGAAUUGCCACAGCCCUGACUGCCUACAUCUGGAAUUUUCAGUGAUAGAUGAACUUCUAACUUGGUUGAGCCACUGUUAUUCUGAGUCUCUGUCCCUUGCUGCUGAGCCUAAGCCUAACCGACAUCGAAUCUGCUAGCAGGUAGAAGAUGCUCUAGAUUCAAUCUUGUUUCCAAAUUGAUGAAUACAAUGGCUGCUGGCCCAAAGACCCCUUCCCACCAUCAGCAAAGGUGACCGCUACGAUGGCAUUCCAUCUCUCUGUCCCUGUUAAAUUUGAGUAUACCAGUGGGAAGGUUGGAAAACAUUUCUGCCCCUGAAAAUAUAUCAGACACUAUCGUGUGCUGAGGAUUCUACAGGCUGCAUGUGACUAUCAAGAAAACAAUCAAUCUAUGAACCGCAGAGGUGGGUGUGAACACCGCUGCCCUGGGCCUGUUUACAUUCCUCCCAGCUGCCAGGUGAAGGCGAUCAAUCAGAUGGAAGGCGGAGAUGGCCAGGUGUCAUUCCUCUUCGCUGCCAGAUGGAGGUGGUCAGGUGACAUUCCUCCCAGCUGCCCGCUGAAGGUGAUCCGAUGGUUUUCUUCCUUGUUUGCAGUCGGCAUUUCUGGAGUUUGCCCCCCAGGUAUGCCAUCCAGGAAGACCACGAGCACAACGGGGUGAUUGUAGAAAAGGAUCGUCCACCAUUCUGCCCUGUCUGGGUUUUCAUCUGCUGCUCUGGGCCUUCUUGCUGCGGUUCAGGCAGAGGCUGUGAUGACAUCAGGAAGAUUGGCCAGAAUGAUCCUAUCAAAAAGUAAGCUCUGCAUGGGAAACAUGGUGGCCAAGACAAAAGUUGUCUUUCGGAAGAAAAAUGGGAUAUUCUGAAACAAAAUAUCCAUGUGAAUGACUUUCCAAGGGCAAAAAUAUAAAGAACCUCUUCACCAGCAUCAGAAUAUUUAUUGGGCAGGAGUCGACAAUGUUAUAAGCAUCUUGGGAGGUAAGUGUGACUUGAAAAAAACAGCAAGAUCAUCAAUGAGUACAGCACCAUCAAGCUUCUUUUCUCUAGGAGUUAAUUCUACUUGGUUAAAAGUUUCAUCUAGGAUAUAAUUUUGAAUGCUGUUGGGAACAACAGAAGUUUUCUUUCCUAAGCCCAAUUCUUCUAAAUUCCUGGAGACAGAAUUAAUAUACAAAGUACAUUGUACACCCGUGUGUUUUUUUGGGGGGCGGGG